UACGAGGGGGGCAAGCGUUGUUCGGAAUUAUUGGGCGUAAAGGGCGCGUAGGCGGCCUGCUAAGUCGGAUGUGAAAUCCCUCGGCUCAACCGAGGAACUGCAUCCGAUACAGGCGGGCUUGAAUCCGGGAGAGGGAUGUGGAAUUCCAGGUGUAGCGGUGAAAUGCGUAGAUAUCUGGAGGAACACCGGUGGCGAAGGCGGCAUCCUGGACCGGUAUUGACGCUGAGGCGCGAAAGCUAGGGGAGCAAACGGG
rnacentral:rRNA from 1 species